rnacentral:rRNA from 1 species
GAUGAACGCUGGCGGCGUGCCUAAUACAUGCAAGUCGAGCGAACAGACGAGGAGCUUGCUCCUCUGUCGUUAGCGGCGGACGGGUGAGUAACACGUGGAUAACCUACCUAUAAGUCUGGGAUAACUUCGGGAAACCGGAGCUAAUACCGGAUAAUAUAUUGAACCGCAUGGUUGAAUAGUGAAAGACGGUUUUGCUGUCACUUAUAGAUGGAUCCGCGCCGCAUUAGCUAGUUGGUAAGGUAACGGCUUACCAAGGCAACGAUGCGUAGCCGACCUGAGAGGGUGGUCGGCCACACUGGAACUGAGACACGGUCCAGACUCCUACGGGAGGCAGCAGUAGGGAAUCUUACGCAAUGGGGGAAAGCAUGACGGAGCAACGCCGCGUGAGUGAUGAAGGUCUUCGGAUCGUAAAGCUCUGUUAUUAGGGAAGAACAAAUGUGUAAGUAACUAUGCACGUCUUGACGGUACCUAAUCAGAAAGCCACGGCUAACUACGUG